UUGAAAUUUGAACUGAUAACAUAACCUACGUUUUAGCUCGAUAAAAUAUCAAAAAUUGUGUUGAAAAACAGUAUAGUGAGCCUCUAUUUUGUUAACAGUGUGCUACAUAAUCCUUUUAUGUUUCAUUGUUCAUUAAAUUUAUGAAAAUUACCGAGUUUUUUGUCACAAAAAAACGUCUAAUAAAAUAGUCAAGAUUUUGGAAUAAUCACGAGAACCUUUAGUUUAUUUUCUUACAAAAUCAGCGAUGGCAACUCUGGAAAAGUUGCAAAUUGCGGGCCUCCGCAACUUCGGCCAGAAUAGUUCUGGUGAAACCACCACUAUUGAAGCCAUCAAAUGUGCAAUGACCGCCAAUAGGGACUAACAGUGGUCAAGGUUUUUUCUACGAGGCAUCUCUUGCACUAAUUAAUUUUCUUGCUUCUUGUCUCAAUAUCGUUUUGUCAUUUCAGUAAAUCCUCGAUCAUGGUUUCUUCUUUUUGCCGGUCAUUUUCGAACGAUUCGAUUCUUUUCCCUCAAAUGUUUCCUUUUUUAGUUCCUCCCGAAAAAAAAAAACAAAACAUACUUACGAUUUUGACUUUUUACAUUCGUUUUUCUUAAUCCUUCGACAUGGUUUCGGUCCUCCUUCUUGAUGAAAUGAACCAGGAAUGGCCAGUUCCCAAUUCUUCUUUUCCCAAUCUUCAAUAUGUCAUUUUCCGAGAGACCUCUUUCGUUUUGUCUUUACUUCGAACCUACGAAAAUUCUUCAUACUACGUCCCUAACCUAUUCGACGUGGCUCGGUACUUCUCGCUCUAAUUUUCGCACCCUCUGUGCUUCUCCCACAUGACUAUUCCGCCACGAACUUGCGACCUCUCUGUAUUUUCUUCCAGCUUCAACCUCAAUGGCUGAGAGACGUUUAUCAAAAUCCUCAAGGAACCCCUCGGAGGAGGGUGUUCAACUCAAAUAAAAUACUCUCGAAUUUUUGCUGACAUUCUGCCAUGAUUUUUUGAACUUAUAGUUUCCUCAGUUUUUAUGACUUUGCCUCAAACAUCAUCAAUGAACGCUUGGACUGUCAUCAAAUCUAACUCUUUGUCCUCGAUAAGUGCAACCAGUGAAGCCUGGCGGUCACCUAGAGUCCCUUUAUCAGUCCCUUCAAAGUUUGAAAUUGUCACAUCAAACUUAUCCACAGCAUGUAAAAGUAGUUUUUUUCCGUUCCUGACUUUUCUCCAAGUAGUGAUUUUUUUGUAGGUUUAAGCGCCACAAAUCGGUUUGUAGUUUUUGAACAACGAAAAAACGAUAUUGAGACUAAAAGGAAAAAAUAAAUUCCUUCCUUUUAGUCUCAAUAUCGUUUUGUCGUUUUAGGAAAUCCUCGAUCAUGGUUUCGUCUUUUUGACGGUCAUUUUCGAACGAUUCAAUUUCAUCUUGCAAUUCGUUGUCAGUUCUUUCGAAUUCGAAAGGUAGAUUUUCUCUAAUGCUUCUUUGCUUUUCAACAAGACUAAUUCUUGUUGCUUUGUUGGCCGCCAAAUCCCGUUCUAGCCCCUCUAAAACGUUUUCUGCUUUCAUAAUUUUUUCAAUAAUCAGUUGUAAUUUAUUCGUUUUUGUUUCAAUGUCGGUGUCAAAUGACUUGAGCUUGUUUCCCUUAUCUUGCAAGUUCUGUUUUUUUUUACGUGUUCUUUCUUCUCCUUUCUAUGCUCAACUUCUAGUUUCGGUAACUUGAUUCUGUCUUAUCUGUCUUUCCAUUCUUUCUGGUAGAUUUUGACGCAUUUAUUAGACUGUUGGGCAUUGAAAAUUUCGUCGAAUUUUUCUUUAACUCUCUCUUUUCUUCUUUCGUAAUUUAAUUUGGACUUUGGUGCUGAUUCUGGAUGUCAUUUUUGGGUCGUUGAGAAAACCUUGAUCACUGUUAGUUCCUUCUGGAAUGUUGCAUAUGUAAUGGCUUCGAUAAAAUAUCAAAUAUUGUGCUAAAAACAUGGAAAACGCUGCGUGGUCUUUGCACGAGGGAAAGAAAGUUAAAGAAAAAUUCGAUUUUUCAACGAGCCGUAAAUGACAUCAAGAACCAGCAUCAAAGCCAAAUUAAAUUACGAAAGAAAGGUAAGGAAAAUUCGACGAAAUUUUCAAUGCCCAACAGUCCAAUAAAUGCGUCGAAAGCUACCGGAAAGAAUGGAAAGACAGACAAGACAGAAUCAGGUUACCGAAACUAGAAGUUGAGCAUAGAAGAAAGAACACGUGAAAAAAGACAAAUGAAACUUGCAAAAUAAGGGAAACAAACUCAAGUCAUUUGACACCGAAAUUGAAACCAAAACGAAUAAAUUACAACUGAUUAUUGAAGUAAUUAUGAAAGUUGAGAACGUUUUAGAGAGAGAGAGAGAGAGUAGAGAAAGGGAUUUGGCGGCCAACAAAGCAUCAAGAAUUAGUCUUGUCGAAAAACAAAGAAGUAAUAGAGAAAAUCUAGCUUUCGAAUUCGAAGGGACUGACAACGAAUUGCAAGAUGAAAUCGAAUCGUUCGAAAAUGACCGUGAAAAAGACAAAACCAUGAUCGAGGAUUUCCUAAAACGACAAAACGAUAUUGAGACUGAAAGGAAGGAAUUUAUUAAUUACCUUCCUUUUAGUCUCAAUAUCGUUUUUUCGUUGUUCAAAAACUACAAACCGAUUGGGGGCGCUU